AUGGGUAGUGUUUUCUCUUUAGACCCCCUCUAUUCUUACAUCUCAUCUUUUCUAAACCCUCAGAUGCCUCCGAGACAUGACCCCGGAUUUACCUUUCCAUCGGAGCUCACCCAGUUGAUCCAGCAGCAGAACACAUUGAUGCAGUUGCUAGUCCAGAAUCAGAAUCAGGGGAACAACAACAACAACCCACCACCACCACCACUUGUUGAUCACUUAGCCUGUUUUCUUAGGCUGAAUCCGCCGGUGUUUUCCAGUAGCACCGAGCCGAUAGUAGCAGAUGAUUGGCUCUGCAAGACAGCUAGAUAG
rnacentral:rRNA from 1 species